rnacentral:tRNA from 2 species
GCCGAAUUAGCUCAGUUGGUAGAGCAUCUCAUUCGUAAUGAGGAGGUCACAAGUUCGAUUCUUGCAUUCGGCA